rnacentral:rRNA from 1 species
AUGUGGCUGGUCAUUCACAAGCGCUGUUUGACAGCGGACAAUUUGGAGCGAAGGGGCUGGCCAUCAAAUGGAACAUGCCCGCUGUGUCUUUCCACACACGAAGAUUGCUCACACCUAUUUUUAGGUUGCCGCUAUUCACAGCAGGUGUGGUCCGGGUUCAGGAACUGGACGCGGGUGACUUUUCCGAUCCCCGAUGAUAGAUUUGGUAGCUCCAAGAACUGGUGGAUCAACGCACGGAGAGACAUUCCCAAGGCAGCCCGACGGGACUUCGACACGAUGACCAUCCUGAUUCACUGGAGAAUUUGGAAGGAAAGAAACGCCAGGAUUUUUCAGCAGGUAGCUAGCAGCGUGGACAAGGUGCUGGAACUCAUCCAGGAAGAUAUCGCUGUUUGGCGAUCGGCUGGUUGUGUAGACGACUUCGGCUAA